CAUAUAAUCCGAGAAACAUUCCAUCUGGUAUCUAAAAGAGACGAUAAUGUGUGUAACUUUCUAGAAGGUGGAACGUAUGCGGUGGAAAACAUACAGUAUCGAUCGAAGACAGAGAUAAACUACGUUACAAAGUCCGUGGAAUCAACUAUUAAAGAAAUACUACGUAUUGCUAAACCAGUUGUACUUGCCAUAUACAGAACCAGCCCGCGUGAAAUAAAAGUAGAACAAUAUACUAUUCCAGCUAAGUCCAUCAUACUGUUUGAUUUAAAUGAUCCACAGAUCGACCCUAAACUAUGGGACCAUCCUAAUGAAUUCGAUCAUGACAGAUGGACAACCCCACAGAAGAUUGGAUAUCUUUUCUUUGGUAUACAUGGUAUAGGUAAAUGUAUAACGGACAAAGGUUUUAGUACUGUAGCUCU